GAUGAAGAACGAAGCGAAAUGCGAUACUUGGUGUGAAUUGCAGAAUCCCGUGAACCAUCGAGUCUUUGAACGCAAGUUGCGCCCGAAGCCAUUAGGCCGAGGGCACGCCUGCCUGGGCGUCACACGUCGUUGCCCCCCCAUCUACUCCUUCGGGAUUGCGGGGGGCGGAUGAUGGCCUCCCGUGCGCCUCGUCGCGCGGUUGGCAUAAAUGCCAAGUCCUCGGCGACGCACGCCACGACAAUCGGUGGUUGCGAAACCUCGGUUGCCGGUCGUGUGCGGUCGUCGCGCAUCGAGGGCUCGAAAAAAUUGCCGGGCUCCGGCUCGGCUUUCAACGCGACCCCAGGUCAGGCGGGGUUACCCGCUGAAUUUAAGCAUAUCAAUAAGCGGAGGA
rnacentral:misc_RNA from 1 species